AUGAAAGGGUUAGUGUGGAAUUACCGGGGGAUUGGCGGUUCCUGAACGGUUCGUGACCUUUGUUCCCUCAAUCAAGUGCACGAUCCUCAGUUUAUCUUCCUAUGUGAAACUAGACAGGCUAAAGAUAGAGUUCGGCGUCUGCGCAACCGGCUUGGUCUGAAAGGUUUUGAGGGUGUCAGUAGUGAAGGGCUUAGUGGUGGGCUGGCUCUCUUUUGGGAUGAGCACUUG
rnacentral:rRNA from 1 species